rfam:Beta vulgaris subsp. vulgaris Bvchr1.sca001.con0253.1, whole genome shotgun sequence.
UGGUGUGAAUGAUGAGAAAUAUUUUAAAUAUCACAGUUAUCCCUGUCUGAGACUUAUGUGCUGAACAUUUGUGAUCUGACACACGU